UAGUCUGCAACUCGACUACAUGAAGCUGGAAUCGCUAGUAAUCGCAGAUCAGAAUGCUGCGGUGAAUACGUUCCCGGGUCUUGUACACACCGCCCGUCACACCAUGGGAGUCGGGAAUGCCCGAAGUCAGUGACCCAACCGCAAGGAGGGAGCUGCCGAAGGCAGGCUCGAUAACUGGGGUGAAGUCGUAACAAGGUAGC
rnacentral:rRNA from 1 species